UACAGAGGUCUCAAGCGUUGUUCGGAUUCAUUGGGCGUAAAGGGCGCGUAGGUGGUUCUGUAUGUCUACCGUGAAAGCGUACGGCUCAACCGUAUUUUGUCGGUAGAAACUGCAGGACUUGAGGCUGGGAGGGGCUGGUGGAAUUCCCUGUGUAGCGGUGAAAUGCGUAGAGAUAGGGGAGAACACUCGUGGCGAAGGCGGCCAGCUAGACCAGUUCUGACACUGAGGCGCGACAGCGUGGGGAGCAAACAGG
rnacentral:rRNA from 1 species